rnacentral:misc_RNA from 1 species
UUUCCGUAGGUGAACCUGCGGAAGGAUCAUUAUUGAAUGAAACACUUCUGGCUUUAUGCUGUUGUGCUGGCUCUUUGGGCAAUGUGCACACGGCUCUGGUCACUUGUUUCUUCUGUUCCACCUGUGCACUGCCUGUAGACACGCUGUGUCUAUGAUAUUUGUUAACACACAACAAUGUUUGUUGGCAUGUUAUAUAUAAUAAUAAAAUAUACAACUUUCAACAACGGAUCUCUUGGCUCUC